AUUGAACGCUGGCGGCAGGCUUAACACAUGCAAGUCGAACGAGUGGCGGACGGGUGAGUAAUGCUUGGGAAUCUAGCUUAUGGAGGGGGAUAACUAAGGGAAACUGUAGCUAAUACCGCGUACCAUAGGAUGAGCACAAGUGGGAUUAGGUAGUUGGUGAGGUAAAGGAUAACCAAGCCGACGAUCUCUAGCUGGUCUGCGAGGAUGACCAGUCACACUGCGACUGAGACAAGGCCCAGACUCCUCCGGGAGGAAGCAGUGGGGAAUAUUGCGCAAUGUGGGCAACCUGAUACAGCCAUGCCGCGUUAAUGAAGAAGGCCUUCGGGUUUUAAAUGUCUUUCGGUAGCGAGGCGUUAACUACAGAAGAAGCACCGGCUAACUCCGUGCAGGCAGCCGCGGUAAUAC
rnacentral:rRNA from 1 species